CUAAGCAUCUUUGCUCUGCCAUGCCCUUCUGCUAUGACGUUCCUGCCUUGAAGUCAAAUAGCAAAGGGCUGAAUCCCCUGAAACUGCUGAAUGUGACAUCCUGGGGAAACUUCCUCCUGAGACACUGUGCCUGCCUCUCCUCUAUCAGAUAUUCUUAAUACUGCGGUGAUCUUCUGUUGGUCUCCCGCAUAUGAGCAUCACCGCCUAGAGGGUCCUGUCCCACAGUCUGCUCUCAGGCAGCCUCCUGGAAAUCAUUGGCCAGAUUUAACAAAUAAAAAAACCAAUUCCCGGUUGAAUUUGAAUUUCAGAUUAAGCAAGGUGCAAAGGAGUAGAGGGCAGUGAGAUACAGUGGCUUGAGGGCGGACUGCAACAGAGGGGAGAUGAAAGGACGAAGAAGCAGAAGAGACCACUGAGAAGAGGUUGUCUAGGAUGUCUCUGGAGUUCAAUGAAUAUUUCACAAGCCCACAAGGAAUAUUUCACAAGGCAAAUAUUUCCCAGGACACGUUGAGAAGUAUCAUCCAUGGUCUCAAACAUUAGAAAACCAGGGCCUCAGGUUCAACAUGUGUGAAAAGUGUUUACAAGAAUUAUUG
rnacentral:lncRNA from 1 species